rnacentral:rRNA from 1 species
UACGAAGGGGGCUAGCGUUGUUCGGAAUUACUGGGCGUAAAGCGCCCGUAGGCGGUUUUGCCAGUCAGGGGUGAAAUCCAGGGGCUCAACCUCGGAACUGCCUCUGAUACAGCAAGUCUUGAGUCCGGAAGAGGUGGGUGGAAUUCCUAGUGUAGAGGUGAAAUUCGUAGAUAUUAGGAAGAACACCAGUGGCGAAGGCGGCCCGCUGGUCCGGUACUGACGCUGAGGUACGAAAGCGUGGGGAGCAAACAGG